rnacentral:lncRNA from 10 species
AUAAUGGUAACCAUGAUGGAUAAAGAGAAGUUUGCAGAACAAAACUCCAGUACCCCCCAGGCUUAACACCUUCUGUUAGACUCCAUUAUUUGAAUGCAUGCUCAUAAUAGAUCCCCAAUGAGCAAGAAGAUUUUUAUAUCACUUUCUCCCUCCUUGUCUUCUCCCUGCACCACACAUCUGCAUUCACCCACAUGUAUAAACACUCUUCUUUUUGCUCAGCUUUUCAGCUGCACUCUUCCCCAAAUUCACAGCCACUGGCAAAAGUUGCUGUUGUUAUCAACCAUAAAUAAAUAUCCUCAAAAGACCAUUAUCAUCUUACGUUGACUUUUAAAUUCUGUUUAUAUCUGGGAAUUCAGGAAAGAGAGAGAGAAAAAGGAAGGAAGGAAGGAGAGGAAAGAAAGAAGAGAAAGAAAAAAGAAAGAAAGAAAAAAGAAAAGGAAAGAAAGAAAGACUUUAUGAAUACUUUCUGUAGGCUCCUCUGGAACCAAGAUUAGUCCCCAAGUAGUAGAGACAGAAUAGAGUAAAAAAUAAGCUAUGUGUGGCUCUCAUGAGACUAAUUUAGACUUUCAUGACUUCUUUUUUCCCUUGAUUUUUCUUUAAAACUGGAGGCAAAACAACAAAAAUAAGCCAAGCUCAGGGCUGAUAUCAGGUUGUUUUGAUUGUAAGAACAUAACCUUGCCAAUAUUGUACCAACUCCACUCUAUGUAGGCAUGUUGUUCUUUGGCUCACUUAGAGAUGAAGAAAUGAAGGUUCAUGGAUUUUUGAGUCACUGGCUAACCCACCUUCCUCCCCACCACUCUCUCUGUUGCCAGCAUAUUCUUCAUUCAGCCUUUGUCCCAUGAGGGAUAUAAAUUUAGAAGAGAAACCUGUAGGUAAUUAACAGUCCGGCAUGUCUGUCAUUCCUUUGAUAAAAUGUGUUGGGUGUGGUUUCUCAGCAUGCAGUUGAUAAAAUGCAUUGGUGGUGUUCCAUUUCAUUUGACUUUCCAUUAGUUUUUUUUUUCUUUUAUUUUCCAACGAGGAUGUGUUAAUGGCCAGCUUCUGUUUUCAAUCAUGGGGGACAUUUCUAUGGAUUUAUUUUUACAUUUUCCAAUAAGAAACAUAUUCUGAUCCUUUAAAGGUUAAAAGUAAAGUAUGAAAGGGUGAGUGACAGAAGAAAAGCUUCCCUGCUGGCUUAAAUUAGCAGAAGUGUAUGUACGUGUGUGUGUGUGUGUUUGUGUGCAUGUGUGUUUGUGUGUAUGGCUCUUUAGGAUCUGGAUUUUCUUUCUGUCUUGGGGACAAAGAUCUUGCCAUAUUUAUGAUUUGUUUAGUUACUAUAUAGCUUUAAUGACCUAAGAUUGGAGAAAGAGGCAC